rnacentral:misc_RNA from 1 species
AAUAAGGCAGCAUCCAAUAAACAGGUGCAUAAAAUAUUUAAUGAAACCUUCUAGCGGUUUCCAUUAGAGCAAAAAGCCACCAACAGCUAAAUCAUAUCGCGUAAGAGUUGAGAAAUACCUAAAUAAAAGCAACACUACGCUCCAACAGCCAACUACUAAUAAAGACUUGAAAGAUAAACGCCUCGUAAGAACAAUGAUAAGAAAAGAAUGGUAUAACUUCUGACAGAAGCGCAACAUCUUCGUACAUAAAUCCAGUAGAAACGUACACGAAGUAAGCCCGGCUAUGACUUUCACGAGAAAAGAACAGACACAAAUAACUAGACUGGGGAUAAGGUCAGUCUUAACAUUACACCUUCGCACUUUAUCGAAGAACAGAAUCCUAAAGCCUGGUAAACUGAUAGGAUAUCAGGAUAUCAUGAUAUUACAUGACGAACUAUUGCCUUUCAUGGUCAGAAUAGAAGAUAGAAAAUUAUUCAACUAUUCAUACAGUCCGCUACGAAAAGGUUGUUUCAUGAUUUUGGAAUAGAACUGUUGCCAUGGUCAGCAUCGAGUCCUGAUCUGAACCCGAUCAAGAAUCUGUGGGGAAUUUUGGCAAGAAAAGUUUGCGACCAACAGAAGUCAUCUAUAGAAAAUAUCGUUGAAUUUAAAAAAGGGAACGAAACUUUAAAUAAGUUAGUGGAUAGCGUAUCUAACAGAUUAACAGGAAUAGCCAUAAAUAAAGGGAAAUCCACUAAAUAUUGAGCGAAAAG